rnacentral:rRNA from 1 species
GGGGCAGCGGGUCGAAAGCUUGCUUUCGAUGCCGGCGACCGGCGCACGGGUGCGUAACGCGUAUCAAACCUGCCUCAUACUCGGGGAUAGCCUUGCGAAAGUAAGAUUAAUACUCGAUGUUGUUGCUUUCUCGCAUGGGAGAGUAACCAAAGAUUUAUCGGUAUGAGAUGGUGAUGCGUCCGAUUAGGUAGUAGGCGGGGUAACGGCCCACCUAGCCUUCGAUCGGUAGGGGUUCUGAGAGGAAGGUCCCCCACACUGGAACUGAGACACGGUCCAGACUCCUACGGGAGGCAGCAGUGAGGAAUAUUGGUCAAUGGGCGAGAGCCUGAACCAGCCAAGUAGCGUGCAGGAUGACGGCCCUCCGGGUUGUAAACUGCUUUUAGUUGGGAAUAAAAAAAGGGACUUGUCCCUUCUUGUAUGUACCUUCAGAAAAAGGACCGGCUAAUUCCGUGCCAGCAGCCGCGGUAAUACGGAAGGUCCAGGCGUUAUCCGGAUUUAUUGGGUUUAAAGGGAGCGUAGGCGGAUUGUUAAGUCAGCGGUUAAAGGGUGUGGCUCAACCAUGCAUUGCCGUUGAAACUGGCGAUCUUGAGUGCAGACAGGGAUGCCGGAAUUCGUGGUGUAGCGGUGAAAUGCUUAGAUAUCACGAAGAACUCCGAUCGCGAAGGCAGGUGUCCGGGCUGCAACUGACGCUGAGGCUCGAAAGUGUGGGUAUCAAACAGGACUAGAUAUCCUGGUAGUCCACACAGUAAACGAUGUAUACUCGCGGUUUGCGAUAGAUUGUAAGCCGCCAAGCG